rnacentral:lncRNA from 1 species
GGUGUCUCCGCAGGCCGAACACGCUGCUCGCCCAGCUGCGGAUCAUUACCGCCCUUUUGUUCUCCGUCGCGCGCUCGCCCCACGCUAGGAAUGCAAACUGUAGGCGCCGCCAGCCGCCCUUUCCUGUUUCCCUGGGUGGGAGUGGGAAGGGAGUUUUAAACUGAGUUGUGCUCAGUCAGACUCCCAGCCCAGUCUUCCCGGAGCCAUCCGUUCCUUCAUCCAAUGCGGACACCCAUAUCUAAGGUUCGGGCAGGAUUUCCGGGGCACCCUCAAACCCAGCCCGUGGGAUCCGGGAAGGCCUCCUGGAGGAGAGUCCACGAGGCACGGAGCCGAGGAUGGGGUUGGGGUUAGGUCUUGGAGGGCUUCGAAUUUCCGGCAAAGGGUCUGGGAUGGUUCUUGAGGACAGCAGGGAUUUGCAGGGAGGCUGGGGGUGGAGGUGGGCAGAGGUCUUGCUCACAUUUGUGUUCUACAAAGGUCCUUUUGGCUUUUGGGAGGCGGAGACUGAGACUGGAGUCCAGAGGACCAAGGACGACGAGGUAACUGCCGUGGUCCAGGUUUCCUCAGAGACCCGGGUAAUUGCGGCUGAGCUGUCCGAGGUGCUGACGGCUGGGCGAGAGGAGCGGUUGAAUGUAUGCACAACGCCCAGAGGUAAAUGCCUGGUCCACAGUUCUCAGCCCAAUCAAGUUUGCCCUGCUUUAUGGGUUUCUUCUUGGCCAAUGACAAACAAACUUCCAGGCAGGUGGUUAGUAACUUUUGUGGAUUGAACGAAUGAAUGAUUGCUGACCACCUACUAUGUAUAGUAUAUGGUGCUCUGAAAAAUGGGAAAAAUGUCAACCGGAAUUAAUGGAUCCUUUUCUUGUGAUGUUGCAGUCAACCUCACAAUUGAUCUUGUUGUGAGAUUUCAGGAUUUUGUGAACCAGAAAAAUUGCAAGCCAUCAAGGACAAUGCCAAGCGAAGACAUUUAAGAGUAACAACUAUCACCUGUUCUCUCCAAUGCUUGAAUAAAACAAAAGGCAUUUUAAAACUUAAUAAGUAGGAAAGCCAUAAUCUCAGAAUAAGGAACAGUUAUUUAGAAUGGUUUUGUAAAAACUUCCUUGUUUGCCCUUUUUUCUAAUUUCAUUGAGAAACACAGGAAACAUCACCAUGCAUUGUCAUCAGCUUCAAAACUGGCAUUUGGGAGUCAUUGAUCUGGGUCCUCAGGAAAGAAAUAGAAUCUCUCAAAAACAUGUUAAUCAGAGGCGCUCUGACUUCUGGCUGCACAUCUGAUCUCCAGGGUUAGCCUGUUUUACAGUUUUAUUAGAAAGUUCUUUCCAUAGUUACAGUGCCUUAAAUAUGUGUGGGAGAGGGUCCGGGGGGUAGGCAGAUGGAUUAAAAUUGACACUUGUUGAGAACCCACUGUGUGCAAAAACUUAAACUGUCUUAAGAUGCUACACUUACUUUAUCACACAUAAUCUGGUUUUUGCCCUCAUUUGUUAGAUAGGCAUCAUUAAUAACCCAAUUUAAGGAUGGGAAAGUUGUUAC